UCAGAACCUAGGGUUUCCGGUGUUGGACCUAGGGUUUUCUUUGUUGAUUGAAGGACGAUCUUCUCCGGUCGCGAAGAAGGAGGGUAACUCUGUCCUUAUUUUAAGUAUUGUAUGCUUUGUAUGUGACUAUCUGGUUCCGCAUGUGAUUAUCUGGUUCCGUUACAUUUUGCUUGUCGAAACUGUUUUUCUUUCAAGCUGGUUCAUUAAUCAUGGCUUCUAAUACCAAUGCUGGUACCUCCUCCUCGCUAGACUCUACCAGCCCCCUCUUUGUCUAUUCCUGUGAUGUCCAUGGGGUCUCUCUUGUCCCUACUCCCUUCUCGGGUAGUGGUUAUGGGCGUUGGAGGAGAAAAAAGAUUGUCGCAUUAUCUGCUAAAAACAAAAUCGGAUUUGUUGACGGCUCAUGUCCUCGACCAACAACUAAUGUGGCUCAAAAGAGGCUGUGGGAUAGAUGUAAUAACAUGGUCAUUUCCUGGUUGACCUCUUCCAUAUCUCCUCAGAUUGCUGAUAGUUUGCAGUAUUCCGAUACUGCACAGAGUAAAGGCUGUGGGAUAGAUGUAAUACCAUGGUCAUUUCUUGGUUGACCUCUUCCCUAUCUCCUCAUAUUGCUGAUGGUGUACAGUAUUCCGAUACUGCAGAAAGUAUAUGGUCCCAAAUUGAUAAAAGAUAUGGUACCCCUAACAAGACCAAUAUUUUUGAAUUAAAAAGGGAACUUUCCCCCACAUCUCAAGGCUGCUUAGACGUAGCCUCAUACUUUAACAAGCUCAAAGUCCUGUGGGAUGAGUUGGGCACAAUGUGCACAAAUCAUGGGCAGAGAUGUGUGUGUGCUGCUAAAAAUGGAAUAAUUCAGGAAGAUGAUGAAAAUAAGGUAUUCUAGUUUCUAAUGGGGUUAAAUGAAGCAUACAUGGGGGUUAGGAGUAAUUUGUUGAUGAUGCAGCCUUUUCCUUCCCUUGACAGUGUUUACAAUAUAGUGAUUAAUGAUGAGAAACAGAGACAAGUUCAAUCUAUUUCCCAAAUCAGUCCAGACUCCAUGUCUUUUAAUGCUAAUACAAAUAAGCACUCAGCUGUAAUCUAUUUCUCAAAUCAGUCCAGACUCUAUGUCUUUUAAUGCUAAUGCAAAUAAGCACCCAGUUGGGUUUAAUCAGGCCACAGUGCCUAGUCCCCUUAUUUUCAGACCCAGAGUUAAUUUUGAGCAAAGCAGAGGGCCCUUAUUUUGCAGAUACUGCAAGAAAUCUGGGCACUUAAUUGAUAAGUGCUACAAGAGAGGGCCCUUAUUUUGCAGAUACUGCAAGAAACCUGGGUACUUAAUUGAUAAGUGCUACAAGAUCCAUGGGUUUCCUCAAAACAUAAAAUACAACAAGGGAAGGAAAUCUGCAACUGCUCAUAUCUCCACUGGUGAGGAAAGUGUGUCUGUUAAUCAUGGGAAUCCUAAUAUGUCUGUUCCUCUUGUGGAUCCUCCUGCCAGCCAUCACCAUGUUGCACACAUAGAUGGUCACAACUCUGUGAUACCAAGGUUGAGCAGACACCAAUAUGAUCAAUUGAUGAGCUUGUUGCAACAGGCCCAGUUAAGGGAUUCCAGUGAUCAAGCUCCUCCUCCCAUGCAUGCUGCUAAUUUUGCUGGUACUAUGUUGACUGAGAGUCUUGUUUCUGAUUCCAAAUUAUGCAUGCUUACACACAUUAAUUCUGUCACCUGGAUCAUAGAUUCAGGGGUAUCUAAUCAUAUGACACAUGAUAAGAACCUACUCUUUAACAUCAUACCUUUGACUGUUCCAUAUCUUGUAACUUUUCGUAAUGGUUACAAAGUGAAUGUAACUUGUACAUGUUCUUUUGCAUUAACUUCUUCCCUUACUCUUCACAAUGUGCUUCUGGUU
rnacentral:lncRNA from 1 species